rnacentral:rRNA from 1 species
AAUAGAUACCCGGGUAGUCCACGCCGUAAACGAUGGAUACUAGCUGUUGGGGGCAGCUUCAGUGGCUAAGCGAAAGUGAUAAGUAUCCCACCUGGGGAGUACGAACGCAAGUUCGAAACUCAAAGGAAUUGACGGGGGCCCGCACAAGCGGUGGAGCAUGUGGUUUAAUUCGAUGAUACGCGAGGAACCUUACCAAGGCUUAAAUGCAGACUGACCGAUUUGGAAACAGAUCUUUCGCAAGACAGUUUACAAGGUGCUGCAUGGUUGUCGUCAGCUCGUGCCGUGAGGUGUCAGGUUAAGUCCUAUAACGAGCGCAACCCCUGUUGUUAGUUGCCAGCGAGUGAUGUCGGGAACUCUAACAAGACUGCCAGUGCAAACUGUGAGGAAGGUGGGGAUGACGUCAAAUCAUCACGGCCCUUACGCCUUGGGCUACACACGUGCUACAAUGGCCGGUACAGAGAGCAGCCACCUCGCGAGGGGGAGCGAAUCUAUAAAGCCGGUCACAGUUCGGAUCGGAGU